GCCUGGGUGGCUCAGCCAGUUGAGCGUCCGACUUCGGCUCAGGUCAUGAUCUCGCGGUCCGUGGGUUCGAGCCCCGCAUCGGGCU
rnacentral:tRNA from 1 species